rnacentral:pre_miRNA from 1 species
AAUAAACCAAUCUUUCACCUUUUACCUAUAAUAUUUGACUCUUCAUCUUAUUCAAAUUUUUUGUAAUUGAUAUUUUUGUUUUUAUUAGAUGAUAAAUUAUAAAUGGUACUUUACGUAUGACUUUUUUUUCUAAUUUCUUAAAAAAAAUUUAAAUAAGACGGAUGGUUAAACGCUGGGCAUAAUUGGUUUUUCUGAGA